rnacentral:misc_RNA from 1 species
UAGAGAAAUUCCCGUUUGAGUGCCCACAACCUAUCGGUUGUUUAGAAAAGCAAGGCUAGGGGGCUAAGGAAAUAGGCUUGAGAACCACGAAAGGCCCAUCUCUUUGUUUCCAGGCUCUGUUCAGGGUCUGUAGCUCAGUUGGUUAGAGCACACGCUUGAUAAGCGUGGGGUCGGUGGUUCAAGUCCACCCAGACCCACCAACUAAAAGGGGGUGUAGCCCAGAUGGGAGAGCACCUGCUUUGCAAGCAGGGGGUCAUCGGUUCGAUCCCGUUCACCUCCACCAAUCAGAAAAGCAAUUAUCUAAUUAGAAACCAGAAGUAAACGGAAUGGUUUAUUUCUGGUUUUUAACCAGCGGCUGUAUUUCGGGAGCAUUCAGGUUUUCGAGGUUGUUUUAUUCAACCUUGAAUUCUUGUAUUGAGUUCCUGACGUUCUUUAACAAUCUGGAAGAAGUAAAUAUUCCGUAUCGAAGGAUACGUUGCCUGGCGGAGAUGUUGUCUAGAUGUCUUGUUGUCUAGAUGUCUUGUUGUCUAGAUGUCUUUAAGGCUGCGUUUUCCGGAGAAACGGGAUAAUGGGUUAGGUUGUAUCGACGUAUCGCAUUUUUAGUCGGAUGCGAUGCGAAGCAAACACCUGUAAUCACUGGUUUGGAAGAUGAAGAGGAGUCUGUUUUUCAACGGCAUCCGAUUCGGCUUCUAAAGCCCUUAAGGUUAUAG